GUCUGAUUUUCAGGAGAGUGUAUUUUGAUGGUCUCAAAAUACCACCGAAGGCGUAAACGGCAUUGCUCUUAGCACUGCAUUCCCCAUAAUCGCUCAGGUAAAUGGACUGAAAAUUCUCG
rnacentral:ncRNA from 2 species